rnacentral:lncRNA from 1 species
AAUAGUGCUUAGAAUCAGUGAGCUAAAUCAUUAACUAUCGUCUAUUCAUGCUGAUAUCUUCUUGGUAAGAAAUAGACUACCAAAUAUCUUUCAGCAAGGAUUAUCAAUAUAACUUCUAAUAUCACAAUGGGUGUACACCCCGUGGUAUUAUUCCUAAUAUCCUAGGGAGAAAUCACUUCUAAAACCACAGGGAGUGUACACCCCGCAUGUGAUAUUGUUCCUAAAGUCCGCUGGGGGGGAAAUGACAUUACUCCCAAUAUCGCAGGGGGUGUACAAUCCUUCUGCUAUAUUGUUCCUUAUAUCCUGAGG